rnacentral:rRNA from 1 species
UACGUAGGGGGCAAACGUUGCUCGGAAUUACUGGGCGUAAAGGGUGAGUAGGCGGCUGGGCAAGUCAAGGAUGAAAUCCCGCGGCUCAACUGCGGAACGGUCCUUGAAACUGCCUAGCUUGAGGAUAGUUGAAGAGAAGGGAAUUCCCGGUGGAGCGGUGAAAUGCGUAGAUAUCGGGAGGAACACCUGAGGCGUAGGCGCUUCUCUAAGCUACUCCUGACGCUGAAUCACGAAAGCUAGGGGAGCAAAC